GGCUCAGAACGAACGCUGGCGGCGCGUCUUAAGCAUGCAAGUCGAACGGCAAGAGGUAGCAAUACCUCCUAGAGUGGCGGACUGGUGAGUAACACGUGGGUGACAUACCCUUCAGAUGGGGAUAGCUAUUAGAAAUAGUAGAUAAUACCGAAUACGAGCACAGGGGUUAGAGAUCUGUGAGGAAAGGAGCUAAGGCUCCGCUGAAGGAAUGGCCUGCGGCCCAUUAGCUAGUUGGUGAGGUAAGAGCCCACCAAGGCGAUGAUGGGUAUCCGGCCUUAGAGGGUGAACGGACACAUUGGGACUGAGAUACGGCCCAGACUCCUACGGGAGGCAGCAGCUAAGAAUAUUCCGCAAUGGACGAAAGUCUGACGGAGCGACGCCGCGUGGAUGAAGAAGGCCGGAAGGUUGUAAAAUCCUUUUGAAACUGAAGAAUAAGCGUUGUAGGGAAUGACAGCGUGGUGACAGUAGGUUUUGAAUAAGCAACGGCUAAUUACGUGCCAGCCGCCGC
rnacentral:rRNA from 1 species